UAGCGGCGAGCGAACGGGGAAGAGCCCAGAGUCUGAAUCAGCAGGUGUGUUAGUGGAACGGUCCGGAAUGGCCGGCGAUACAGGGUGAAAGCCCCGUACACGAAAGCGCACCCGUUGUGAGCUCGAUGAGUAGGGCGGGACACGUGGUAUCCUGUCUGAAUAUGGGGGGACCAUCCUCCAAGGCUAAAUACUCCUGACUGACCGAUAGUGAACCAGUACCGUGAGGGAAAGGCGAAAAGAACCCCGGCGAGGGGAGUGAAAAAGAACCUGAAACCGUGUACGUACAAGCAGUGGGAGCCUCUUAAUGGGGUGACUGCGUACCUUUUGUAUAAUGGGUCAGCGACUUAUAUUCUGUAGCAAGGUUAACCGUAUAGGGGAGCCGCAGGGAAACCGAGUCUUAACCGGGCGUCCAGUUGCAGGGUAUAGACCCGAAACCCGGUGAUCUAGCCAUGGGCAGGUUGAAGGUUGGGUAACACUAACUGGAGGACCGAACCGACUAAUGUUGAAAAAUUAGCGGAUGAYCUGUGGCUGGGGGUGAAAGGCCAAUCAAACCGGGAGAUAGCUGGUUCUCCCCGAAAGCUAUUUAGGUAGCGCCUCGUGAAUUCAUCUCCGGGGGUAGAGCACUGUUUCGGCUAGGGGGCCAUCCCGGCUUACCAACCCGAUGCAAACUACGAAUACCGGAGAAUGUUAUCACGGGAGACACACGGCGGGUGCUAACGUCCGUCGUGAAGAGGGAAACAACCCAGACCGCC
rnacentral:rRNA from 1 species